UGGCUUUACCGAGACGGUGCGCUAACCCGCAAGGGAGGCAGCCGGCCACGUAAGUCAGCGACUGGGGUGAAGUCGUAACAAGGUAGCCGUAGUGAACCUGCAGAAGGAUCA
rnacentral:rRNA from 1 species